UACGUAGGGUCCGAGCGUUGUCCGGAAUUAUUGGGCGUAAAGGGCUCGUAGGCGGUCUGUUGCGUCGGGAGUGAAAACUUACAGCUUAACUGUGAGCGUGCUUUCGAUACGGGCAGACUUGAGGCAUUCAGGGGAGAACGGAAUUCCGGGUGUAGCGGUGAAAUGCGUAGAUAUCCGGAGGAACACCGGUGGCGAAGGCGGCUUCCUGGACCGACACUGACGCUGAGGCGCGAAAGCUAGGGGAGCAAACGAG
rnacentral:rRNA from 1 species